AGAGGGAGAGCUCAGUGGUAGAGUGCACACUUAGCACUCAUGGGGUCCUGGGUUCAAUCCCCAGUGUCUCCA
rnacentral:tRNA from 1 species